AAACAUGAUGCUACAACCCGAUUGGGGGAUGGCUCGGCUCGAGAGCCGAAGAAGGUCGUGACAAGCUGCGAUAAGUCGCGGGGAGAGGCAUGAAUCUCUUUGAUCCGCGAAUUGCCGAAUUGGACCUCCUGACAACAGUCAUUCCUCGUUAUGAGGAAGGGGAACCCCCCGAACU
rnacentral:rRNA from 1 species